GACGAACGCUGGCGGCGUGCCUAACACAUGCAAGUCGAACGGAGAAUUUCAAUAAGCUUGCUUAGAGAAAUUUUUAGUGGCGGACGGGUGAGUAACGCGUGGGUAACCUACCCAUAAACCCGGGACAACCCUUGGAAACGAGGGCUAAUACCGGAUAAUCUUAAAGCUUGGCAUCAAGUAUUAAGAAAAGGUGGCCUCUGAAUAUGCUACCGAUUAUGGAUGGACCCGCGUCUGAUUAGCUAGUUGGUGGGGUAAAGGCCUACCAAGGCGACGAUCAGUAGCCGGCCUGAGAGGGUGAACGGCCACACUGGGACUGAGACACGGCCCAGACUCCUACGGGAGGCAGCAGUGGGGAAUCUUCCGCAAUGGACGAAAGUCUGACGGAGCAGCGCCGCGUGUAUGAUGAAGGUCUUCGGAUUGUAAAGUACUGUCUUUGGGGAAGAAUGACUGGCUUGAAAAUAUUGAGCCAGUAUGACGGUACCCAAGGAGGAAGCCCCGGCUAACUACGUGCCAGCAGCCGCGGUAAUACGUAGGGGGCAAGCGUUGUCCGGAAUUAUUGGGCGUAAAGGGCGCGUAGGCGGAUGUUUAAGUCCGGUGUGAAAGAUCAGGGCUCAACCCUGAGAGUGCAUCGGAAACUGGGCAUCUUGAGGACAGGAGAGGAAAGUGGAAUUCCACGUGUAGCGGUGAAAUGCGUAGAUAUGUGGAGGAACACCAGUGGCGAAGGCGACUUUCUGGACUGUAACUGACGCUGAGGCGCGAAAGCGUGGGGAGCAAACAGGAUUAGAUACCCUGGUAGUCCACGCCGUAAACGAUGAGUGCUAGGUGUAGAGGGUAUCGACCCCUUCUGUGCCGCAGUUAACACAAUAAGCACUCCGCCUGGGGAGUACGGCCGCAAGGUUG
rnacentral:rRNA from 1 species